CAAGCGGGGAAGGAUGAGAAGCUUCGACCAAGGUUCGACUCGAGCGCCAGCGAGAGAGCGUUGCCGCAGGCAACGACCCGAAGGGCGAAGCGCGCAGCGCUGAGUAAUCCUUCCCCCACCACCA
rnacentral:sRNA from 1 species